AACAGGAUUAGAUACCCUGGUAGUCCCACGCCGUAAACGAUGUCGACUUGGAGGCUGUUCCCUUGAGGAGUGGCUUCCGGAGCUAACGCGUUAAGUCGACCGCCUGGGGAGUACGGCCGCAAGGUUAAAACUCAAAUGAAUUGACGGGGGCCCGCACAAGCGGUGGAGCAUGUGGUUUAAUUCGAUGCAACGCGAAGAACCUUACCUACUCUUGACAUCCAGAGAAUUUAGCAGAGAUGCUUUAGUGCCUUCGGGAGCUCUGAGACAGGUGCUGCAUGGCUGUCGUCAGCUCGUGUUGUGAAAUGUUGGGUUAAGUCCCGCAACGAGCGCAACCCUUAUCCUUUGUUGCCAGCACGUAAUGGUGGGAACUCAAAGGAGACUGCCGGUGAUAAACCGGAGGAAGGUGGGGAUGACGUCAAGUCAUCAUGGCCCUUACGAGUAGGGCUACACACGUGCUACAAUGGCGCAUACAAAGAGAAGCGACCUCGCGAGAGCAAGCGGACCUCAUAAAGUGCGUCGUAGUCCGGAUUGGAGUCUGCAACUCGACUCCAUGAAGUCGGAAUCGCUAGUAAUCGUAAAUCAGAAUGUUACGGUGAAUACGUUCCCGGGCCUUGUACACACCGCCCGUCACACCAUGGGAGUGGGUUGCAAAAGAAGUAGAUAGCUUAACCUUCGGGAGGGCGUUUACCACUUUGUGAUUCAUGACUGGGGUGAAGUCGUAACAAGGUAACCGUAGGGGAACCUGCGGCUGGAUCACCUCCUU
rnacentral:rRNA from 1 species